rnacentral:rRNA from 1 species
CAGCACCUCAAGUGGUCAGGAUGAUUAUUGGGCCUAAAGCAUCCGUAGCCGGCUCUGUAAGUUUUCGGUUAAAUCUGUAUGCUCAACAUACAGGCUGCCGGGAAUACUGCAGAGCUAGGGAGUGGGAGAGGUAGACGGUACUCGGUAGGAAGGGGUAAAAUCCUUUGAUCUACUGAUGACCACCUGUGGCGAAGGCGGUCUACCAGAACACGUCCGACGGUGAGGGAUGAAAGCUGGGGGAGCAAACCGGAUUAGAUACCCGAGUAGUCC